AAAAACAGGCGGCGUAGCAGGUGGGCAGCACGUUGCCAUGAUGUUCCGUGGCCCGGCCGUGGCUGGCGUGAUCCCACCAGAGUGAGCUGGAGCAGAUCUGCACCAUGAGCCAAGUUUCUCAGAAAAUAUAUGGCUGUCCUGUGGGCCGCAGCCUAAUGCCCACAUUCUUCUCGGGGCAGAUCAAAGGUUAUUCAACCAGGGCAAAGGACAGCCUUGCAAACCAACUACGUCCUCCUUCUGGAGUUUGUGUGACCCCUGGUCCCUGAGCCCGCACCCUCUCGGAGCGGGGUUCCAACUCCGUGGAAGCUCUGCUGAGAUGCAGACAGGAAAAUAAGAAGGCAGAAGAUGGUCUGCAAAGGAUAAAAACAGGUGCAUCCAAGAAUGAGAAAAAUGGCCCAUGAAGAAAUGUGUAACUCUCCAAGAGAUGCAGACACUCUGCUCAGAGAAGUCAAGAACCACAAACAACUCUUGAUGUUUCAUGGACAAAGGGAAGGCAAAGGCAUACAAAAAUACUCAGUUGUCUUGAAAAAGAGUGUACUGGUAGUGAUCAGGGCUGCAAAGGUGAGCCCUGUACUGACAAUGGAGGAGCCUUACAACUCAGCACCUUAAAGUGUUGGCCUGAAGUGGUGGCAGGGAGGGAGGCGCUGACGGAAAGACCCAUGGCUCACCACUUACUGCGUGUACACAGGGCCUGGAGCAAGCCUCACAAGUCUACCAUUUCUUCCACUCAACUGUGCUUCUCCUGAAUCCAUGUGCCUGAAAUGACAUGUGCAAGGUUCUCAAAAAGUGGUGUAGACUCAGCCAAAUGCCAGGAAAUGUGUCUAACGCCAGAGGAGACGCAGAGCCAGAAAUGAAGGCUACGGGUCCUGUCUUCAGUGCAGCACUGAUCGCUCUCGGAAAGCUCCCAUCAUUCUUGCAUCGCUACUGCCACCAAGACGGUGGCAAGGGAGGCGGCUAACUUUCAAAUGCAUGCAACGGCAGAGUUCCCGAAUGAGAGCUUUUCUGGCUUCAGUACCAAUGAUCACAGAAGGAACAUCUUCCUGAUGCAAGCUUAGAUGGAAGUCAAGGACCCUGGCAGUGCUAAGAACAGAAGUCACACGUGGCCUGACAACGAAGGGGAGGUUCGGAUGGCAUACACCGACAAGAGAAGGCAGAGACCAUCCUUCAUGGUGAGCACAAAAUGCUAAGACAGGUAAUUGCAGAGAGAAAAAAGCACCCAACUCUGUAAAGCCAAGUCCAGUCACCCAUUCAUAAGAGUCCAAAAUCCUUCAAAUCUCUAGGAACAGAAGACAAACAGGCUGCCCAGAAUGAGCUGAGACACAAGGCAAACCCUUGGAAAUGACACACGGAUGAGGAGGCUGUGGUUGUCCCUCCUUAUUCCUGCUGGAUCUGCAGCCAUGGCUCUGGAUCUGGGGCAUCUACUGGCCUCCCCUGUUCACUCAAGAGGCCACUGCCUCUCAAGAGUCCAGAAUGCUCCGAUAUCUGACACCGGUGGUCAGGAAGUUACACUGCCCUCCCCUCUUGAACAGCUAAGAUGCUUGGACACUAGACAGAGGCAAAGCAAUUAUGCCAGAAGCAGGGGAGAGUCAUUCACUGUCAGAUCUGUCUGUUCAAAGAGCUCACAUUAGACCAAUUACAGAAAACCACCAGACUCACACAGCUUGUAUUUGAAUGAACCAGGAGAGACUUCAAGGAUGAACUCUAAAGUGCUAGAAGACAAAUCUGUGUUUGGGGCACUCAAUAAACAAGUGAUGUCCUAGAAGAUCAACACCCCAUCAGUCUUAGGAGUAUGACCCUAUUCAUGGACAAGGGGUUUCAAUGGACAGCCUGAGUGCUCACCCCCGCAUCCUCCUCUCCUAGCAAGACAAGCAGUCUGUUGCUCAGAGGCGGAAACUGACGUCAUUUAACAGGAGGCCAGGACUUCUGGUUCUAGUUCAACAAACAGUACAUAAUUUUGGACACAGCAUCAGAUUUCCUGACUUCUUAGAAAAGACAGCUAAUUAAAAACGUGUCAAUCUCUAGUAAUUAGUUGGAGAUUAACAAGGGCAGAAGAGAAUCCAAGUCUUAAAACUCUAUGUGGGAUAUACACUUCUGAUGAAGCUUCUAUUUGACUAAUAUACUGUGAUGAUGGCACUAUUCGAUUUUAAACUAUGGAGACAGCUUUUAUUCUUUCGAUUUGGAUCCUGGUAAGUGGUGAUACUACUAUGUAACAGUUAAAGCACAAAUGUAUUGCCAUAGUUAAGGCUG
rnacentral:antisense_RNA from 1 species